rnacentral:rRNA from 1 species
UACGGGGGGGCAAGCGUUGUUCGGAAUUACUGGGCGUAAAGGGUUUGUAGGUGGCUCGCUAAGUCAGACGUGAAAUCCCUCAGCUUAACUGGGGAACUGCGUCUGAAACUGAUGAGCUUGAGUGCAGGAGAGGAACGCGGAAUUCCAGGUGUAGCGGUGAAAUGCGUAGAUAUCUGGAGGAACACCUGUGGCGAAGGCGGCCCCCUGGUUGGAUACUGACGCUGACUACGCGAAAGCGUGGGGAGCAAACAGG